rnacentral:tmRNA from 1 species
GGGGAUGUCACGGUUUCGACGUGGACAUUGUGAGGCGCGCGCGAGGCGCGCCGGGCGCCCAUGCCGCUCGUUAGAAAGCGUGGAAACAAUCACCUGCCGAAACGCAGGAACUCGCUCUCGCAGCCUAAUAACUGCUGAGCCGUCCGCUCAUUCGGUCGCCUGUGCCGGAGAAGCGGGCGUGACGUUCACAGGCUGGCGGCCACGCUGCGCCUAGGGCGCGGCCGCGAGACCUUGCUGGGCUGGCGCUUGCGCCGCUCAAGGUCGCUGCUCCGGCAGCGCAAGCGCGAGAACAAGGGAAGCGACUACGCGCGUAGUCUCCGGCGCCAAAGGUCUGCGGACGAGGGUUCGACUCCCUCCAUCUCCACCA